CGCCUGUUUAUCAAAAACAUCGCCUCUUGUUCAAUUAUAGGAGGUCCAACCUGCCCAGUGACUCUGUUCAACGGCCGCGGUAUCCUAACCGUGCGAAGGUAGCGUAAUCACUUGUUCUUUAAAUGAGGACUAGUAUGAAUGGCCCCACGAGGGCUGCACUGUCUCCUUUUUCUAAUCAAUGAAACUAAUCUCCCCGUGAAGAAGCGGGAAUUAUCCUAUAAGACGAGAAGACCCUAUGGAGCUUUAAACAAUUGAAACAUUUGCUUUUCUCCUAACUCCUCCCGAGCUCUUUAUUUUUAUUUAAGCAUUAUUAUUUCUAGUUUUAGGUUGGGGUGACCACGGAGCAAAACUAAACCUCCAUGAAGAAAUGAAUAUUUUUAAGCCAUAAACUACUUUUUUAAGCAUCAACAAAUUGACCUUCAUUGACCCAAUAUAUUGAUCAACGAACCAAGUUACCCUAGGGAUAACAGCGCAAUCUACUUCAAGAGCUCAUAUCGACAAGUAGGUUUACGACCUCGAUGUUGGAUCAGGGUAUCCUAGUGGUGCAGCCGCUAUUAAUGGUUCGUUUGUUCAACGAUUAAAACCCU
rnacentral:rRNA from 1 species